GGGUGGUCCAUCUCCCCUGACACCCCUAUUUCUGCUCCGCCAUCGCCAUCAUAGGGGAACCCCCCUUUUCUUUUCUCUUUGGGCACUCAUUUUUCCAGUGUCCCUCCUGUCAACACAGGGCACACUGGUUGAGACCCAGUCGUCUUUCCUGCGGGCCCGGACGGUCGCGUCCACGGCCCCUUCCUCCCCGGCCACUUUUCUUAGUGCCGGCCUGUACCGCUGUUACCAUCACUCUCACUUGCUUUUUCUCCUUCUCUGUCUCUCUCAGACUAUAAGCUCGGAUCGGAAGAACACA